rnacentral:rRNA from 1 species
CGCUGGCGGCGUGCCUAAUACAUGCAAGUCGAACGAGUUCUGAUUAUUGAAAGGUGCUUGCAUCUUGAUUUAAUUUUGAACGAGUGGCGGACGGGUGAGUAACACGUGGGUAACCUGCCCUUAAGUGGGGGAUAACAUUUGGAAACAGAUGCUAAUACCGCAUAAAUCCAGGAACCGCAUGGUUCUUGGCUGAAAGAUGGCGUAAGCUAUCGCUUUUGGAUGGACCCGCGGCGUAUUAGCUAGUUGGUGAGGUAACGGCUCACCAAGGCAAUGAUACGUAGCCGAACUGAGAGGUUGAUCGGCCACAUUGGGACUGAAACACGGCCCAAACUCCUACGGGAGGCAGCAGUAGGGAAUCUUCCACAAUGGACGCAAGUCUGAUGGAGCAACGCCGCGUGAGUGAAGAAGGCUUUCGGGUCGUAAAACUCUGUUGUUGGAGAAGAAUGGUCGGCAGAGUAACUGUUGUCGGCGUGACGGUAUCCAACCAGAAAGCCACGGCUAACUACGUGCCAGCAGCCGCGGUAAUACGUAGGUGGCAAGCGUUAUCCGGAUUUAUUGGGCGUAAAGCGAGCGCAGGCGGUUUUUUAAGUCUGAUGUGAAAGCCCUCGGCUUAACCGAGGAAGUGCAUCGGAAACUGGGAAACUUGAGUGCAGAAGAGGACAGUGGAACUCCAUGUGUAGCGGUGAAAUGCGUAGAUAUAUGGAAGAACACCAGUGGCGAAGGCGGCUGUCUGGUCUGUAACUGACGCUGAGGCUCGAAAGCAUGGGUAGCGAACAGGAUUAGAUACCCUGGUAGUCCAUGCCGUAAACGAUGAAUGCUAGGUGUUGGAGGGUUUCCGCCCUUCAGUGCCGCAGCUAACGC